rfam:Burkholderia sp. CCGE1003 chromosome 1, complete sequence.
UCUGCUUUCCGAAGCGGACUUUUUCGUUGACGAAAAAGAUCUCCAAACCUUUGUCGGCGCGACCUUCCAGUCGCGCUUUUUUUUC